rnacentral:rRNA from 1 species
GGUUGCGAUCAUACCAGCACUAAUGCACCGGAUCCCAUCAGAACUCCGCAGUUAAGCGUGCUUGGGCGAGAGUAGUACUAGGAUCGGUGACCCCCUGGGAAGUCCUCGUGUUGCAACCC